AUGCCAAAGAGGAAUAAGUAAAAUACACGAAUAACGAUGAACAAUUUAUUGACAAUUUCAAUUGUAUAUGUGAAGUUCGAGUUGACAGUCGGUGAAUGUAGUGACGGCCUUGAAGGCUGCAUGAGCACUAUUUACAGUGUUGGUGGAUUAGUCAUUGGAAUUUUAAUUUUCCUCGCAAUAUUAGCAGCAAUAUGUUUUGGAGUCUGCGCAGUGUGUGGAUGGUCCUGUGGAUGUUUAAAAACAACUGAAGCCCCACGACAAUUCCGGUCAGGAACAAAUCGUGUCGCUGUCACUGACUCUUCUGACACAACAAGACUGAAUUAUUCGCCUCCUCCUUAUGCAGAUGCAUGCAGGGACGAUGGUUCAACUAAUCAGCAUUCGGUUAAACAAUCUACACCACCACCCAGUUAUUCAUCUCUACACCGGUUCCAGUCGGAAAAUCAUUGAAAUAUCAUAGAUAAAUUUAUAAAAACGUAAUACUUCCAGUUCUUGGGCAGUUAGUGAGAUUGUAUGAUGUUUGAAGGGAGAGAACAUAAAUGUGUGUGUGGUUAGUAGUCCAUAGUCAUUAUUGAACAACUUGUAUUUCUUUGUAUCGCAAGUGUUAACUGAGUAGUUCUCCUCUGUAUAAUAUCCUGCAUAUGCAUGAAAUAUUGCUCUGUGUAUGGUAAUGCAUAUGCAUGAAAUAUAUGUAAGGCUGUUAAGUAGUUCUCCCCUGUAUAUUGUUAUGAAUAUGCAUGCAAUAUAUAUAUAUAUGUAUGGCUGUUAAGUAGUUCUUCCCUGUAUAUUGUUAUGAAUAUGCAUGAAAUAUAUGUAUGGCUGUAAAGUAGUUCUCCCCUGUAUAUUGUUAUGAAUAUGCAUGACCUCUAGCUGUUUCUCUUUUGAGUCACUGUCCUAUUAUAAACUUUGACAUUUUCGAAAUGCUAAGGAUUUUCUACCCAAGGAAUAGAUUACUUAACUUCGUACUUUAUUUGGCCUUUUUAACUUUUUUUAUUCGAGCGUCACUGAUGAUUCUUUGUAGACUUAACUCGCGUCUGACGUACAACAUUUUAAUCCUGGUAUCUUUUUAUAUCUACAUAUCUUUUUUAUAUAAAUUGGUUCUUUUGAGAGUAUGUUCAGGUAUUCAUAAAACUUCUGAAAAUAAGAUAUUCUUCAAAACCAAGUAUUCCUGUAGAAUAUUUGGAUUGGUUUAAGUAAAAUCAGGAAAUCCUUAAAAUUUGAGAUGUUUUAUGAGACCAAAAUAAGUCUCUAUAUAAGAGGUUCUAAUGAAGCUGGUGUGUUACUUACUCUCAAGAAAAAUAUACGAAACCUUCUUAACGUCAAGUGGUGAAUAUUUCAUGAAUGUUCAGGACGAACAUGGGGGUGAAGAAGAUCCUUAUCGAUUUUAAAGUCAUUAAGUGAUUUGACAUGCAAAUGCUAAAUUGCAUGAUAGUGGGAAAAAUAUUGAUUCAAUGGUGAAAUUUUAUAUAACCGUAGUCCAAUUUCAUGAAACUUAGCUUGCAAAUGCCCCUUAUAUAACUAAUGAAGUGUCCUAUUGAUCUUCGGGACAAUAAGUUAAAGAUCAAAAUCACAGAGUAUUAAGAAGGUCUGGAUUGGGGGUCCUUCUUUUCUUUUUUCCGUUAAUUUUGUGUGGCCUUUUUAUUUUAUCUUUAAAAAUAAUGCUUCUUCAGUAAACUUCGAAGACCAUUUUACUAUUAGAUUUAUUUGUUAUCACACGAUUUCUUUUUUUCUGUACAUGGAUCAUUUCUGUAAUCAGUGUUUUAUUACCUAUAAUUCUUUUGUUACAGUUUUUCUUUAUUCUUUUGCACCCCCUUAUUCUUCAUUUUAAUUUUGUUUUUCUCAUUUUUCUCGAUUCCUUAUUUUUUUGGCAUCAUUCAUUAUUCUGUAAACCCCGUCCAGACCCUCAUAUAAAUAGACAACGUUCACAAUUUUAGAUCGAUAAUGUAUCUUUGAGUGGAAGAGACCCUUAUUGUGGUUCAAAGGUCAAUGUCACAGCAGCAAUUAAAAGACUGAAAUGAGAUUAAUUUUCGGAUAUGACCCAUUUGGUAAAAAAGCAGAGGAAAUUUUUAUAAGUUUUCUUAGAGACUAAACAAUCAUUUUUAUUUUAUAGAAUUUACCAUUAUGCACGUCUCUUAAAUAUCAUAUAACGUAAGCCACUAGUUCAGAGGGGCUGGACAGGGGGAUCCCUGAUUCCCGCUUCCCUACCACAUCAGGCGGAAGUGGGGGGACCUUUCUAUAUACAAGGUGACAGGUGCCGCUGAAAUAGGUAGCAUUUUCCAGCUUGAAAAUAUGUGAAUAUGCGGGGAAAACUAUUAGAAGUAUAUGAUAAGGUCAAUAUCUGUUAAUUAUUCUUCGUCUGUUUAUUGGUGUUCCUCCCGGCUGUGUGUUUAUCCACAAAAUUUUCCCCCUUUGAAUCUUUUGUAUUCCACUUUUCCAACACACCACACGAAACCCAACCAAUAUUGGAAAAGGUUACAUUUUUACCUACGCAAUAUACGAAAAGGUAUUUAUUUUUAACCAGCUUGACUCAAACUCUAAACUCAAAACUAUUUGAGAUCCCAAUAAAAGAUAUUUUGUCUGGUGUUGCGGUCUAUAUAAAACAACCCAUGGAGUUGCGAAAAUAAGGUCCCCAUUGGUCAGUUAUCUAUAUAUUUAUAUAUAUAUAUUUAUAUAUUAUCAAUAUUAACUUGACUUGUUUAGAACAUUUUUCAUGUACAUGUAUUCUAUGUUUCUUGUGUACAUGUCUGUUAUGUUUGCAUUUUAACUUUACGUUUGGCAUGAACAACUAAGGACAAAAGUAUCAUUAUACAGCUCUCUCUGCCACUUAUCUACAAAUAAUAUAUUCUGGCGAAACACCCAUCCAUGUCUUUCAAGUGUUGGUACCUCUAAUCAAGAUAUUAGCCGUCUUCAACCAAAAUUAAAGCUGUUAACAGGAACUUAUUAUUAACAAAGUAAUAGGGCUGGAUAUAACCAAAAUGCAAUAAAUCCAACUUGUCUUCUCUGCAAUGAAAACUCAGAAACAGUUGAACAUUUUCUUCUAGAAUGUAAAUGUGAAUUAGACAGUUUUCUAUGUAUAUAGCUUUAAAAACUGUGCUAAAUGCUUUAACCUAAACAACGUAGUACUAGAUAAACAGCUUAUUUUAGACCCAAGUAGUUUAUCAUGCGCUUGUGACUGUAGAUGCAAAUGUACUGACCAUUGCUUUAAAGUAGAGUAUAUCACCAGGAAACUCUGCUAUGUAUUACAUGUCCAAAGAUUAAGAAAUUAACUAUUACAACAAGUACUCUCAAAUCGUACUUUCGUGUUAAUUUGACCUGUUGACACAAUUUGUGAUGCAUUUCUGUUACUCAAUGUUUACUUAUUCUGUGUUAUAUCUCGUCUAACUAUUUUCAAUAUUUACCACCUUUGAUAAGUAUUUAGUAUGACGAUAAAUUUUGACUUCUGUACUCGUACUGUGAACAACAAAUUAGUUUAUUUUGUAAAAAAUGUUUCCGUACUCGUAACAACAAAAUUAUUAUAUUUAAAUUUACCUGUGUACGUUACUUUAUUUAACAC